CCUGGCUCAGAUUGAACGCUGGCGGCAUGCUUAACACAUGCAAGUCAAACGGCAGCACGGUCUAGCUUGCUAGAUGGGUGGCGAGUGGCGAACGGGUGAGUAACGCGUAGGAAUAUGCCUUGAAGUGGGGGAUAACUUGGGGAAACUCAAGCUAAUACCGCAUAAGCUCUAAGGAGGAAAGCUGGGGACCGUAAGGCCUGGCGCUUUAAGAUUAGCCU
rnacentral:rRNA from 1 species